CCUACGGGGGGCAGCAGUGGGGAAUCUUGCACAAUGGAGGAAACUCUGAUGCAGCGACGCCGCGUGAACGAUGAAGCCCUUCGGGGUGUAAAGUUCUUUCGUCAGGAACGAUAAUGACGGUACCUGGAGAAGAAGCUGCGGCUAACUACGUGCCAGCAGCCGCGGUAAUACGUAGGCAGCAAGCGUUGUUCGGAAUUAUUGGGCGUAAAGAGUAUGUAGGUGGUGUCGUAAGUUUGGUGUGAAAUCUCCCGGCUUAACCGGGAGGGUGCGCCGAAGACUG
rnacentral:rRNA from 1 species